GUAGGUGGCAAGCGUUGUCCGGAAUUAUUGGGCGUAAAGCGCGCGCAGGCGGUUCUUUAAGUCUGAUGUGAAAGCCCACGGGCUCAACCGUGGAGGGUCAUUGGAAACUGGAGAACUUGAGUACAGAAGAGGAAAGCGGAAUUCCACGUGUAGCGGUGAAAUGCGUAGAGAUGUGGAGGAACACCAGUGGCGAAGGCGGCUUUCUGGUCUGUAACUGACGCUGAGGCGCGAAAGCGUGGGGAGCAAACAGGAUUAGAUACCCUGGUAGUCCACGCCGUAAACGAUGAGUGCUAAGUGUUAGGGGGGUUUCCGCCCCUUAGUGCUGCAGCUAACGCAUUAAGCACUCUGCCUGGGGAGUACGGCCGCAAGGCUA
rnacentral:rRNA from 1 species